CCUACGGGUGGCAGCAGUGGGGAAUAUUGCGCAAUGGGCGAAAGCCUGACGCAGCGACGCCGCGUGAGGGAUGAAGGUCUUCGGAUCGUAAACCUCUGUCAGCAGGGAAGAACGGUCACUGUGCUAAUCAGCAGUGAAUUGACGGUACCUGCAAAGGAAGCACCGGCUAACUACGUGCCAGCAGCCGCGGUAAUACGGAGGGUGCGGCCGUUAAUCGGAAUUUCUGGGCGUAAAGCGCUGGUAGGCGGUAUUUCAAGUAAAGGGUGAAAUCCCCGCGCUCAACGUGGGAACUGCCUGUGAAACUGGCAAACUGGAGUGUGUGAGAGGAUAGUGGAAUUCCAGGUGUAGGAGUGAAAUCCGUAGAUAUCUGGAGGAACAUCAGUGGCGAAGGCGACUAUCUGGCACAUAACUGACGCUGAGGAGCGAAAGCGUGGGUAGCAAACAGGAUUAGAUACCCCUGUAGUC
rnacentral:rRNA from 1 species